rnacentral:rRNA from 1 species
AACGAACGCUGGCGGCAUGCCUAACACAUGCAAGUCGAACGAGACCUUCGGGUCUAGUGGCGCACGGGUGCGUAACACGUGGGAAUCUGCCCUUAGGUUCGGAAUAACAGUUGGAAACGACUGCUAAUACCGGAUGAUGACGUAAGUCCAAAGAUUUAUCGCCUAAGGAUGAGCCCGCGUCGGAUUAGCUAGUUGGUGGGGUAAGGACCGUACCAA